GAUGAACGCUGGCGGCGUGCUUAAUACAUGCAAGUCGAGCGAACAGAUGAGGAGCUUGCUCCUCUGUCGUUAGCGGAGGACGGGUGAGUCACACGUGGAUAACCUACCUAUCAGACUGGGAUAACUUCGGGACACCGGCGAUAAUACCGGAGAAUAUAUUGAACCGCAUGGUUCAAUAGUGAGAGACGGUUUUGCGGUCUCUUAUAGAUGGAUACGGGCCGCAUUAGCUGGUUGGUAAGGUAACGGCUUACGAAGGCAACGAUGCGUAUCCGACCGGAGUGGGUGGUCGGCCACAUGGGAAGUGAGACACCGUCCAGGCGCCUACGGGACGCAGCAGUAGGCUACCGUCCGCAAUGGGCGAAAGCCUUACGGAGCAGCGGCGCGUGAGUGAUGAAGGCCCUCCGAGCGGAAUACCCUGUUAUGAGUGAAGAACCAAUUUGUAAGUAACCAUGCACGUCUUGACGGUACCGAGUCAGAAAGCCCCGGCUAACUACGUG
rnacentral:rRNA from 1 species